rnacentral:lncRNA from 1 species
UGAGGGCCCUCAUGGGGUUUUUGAUUAUGUGAUUACUUGGCCGUUUUUUUAAUGAUUAUUUGAUUAUUAAGCCAAAUAUUUCAUGAUUAUUUGAUUACCGAGGACUGUAUUUUUAGUUUAUGAUUAUUUGAUUACUAAAGAUAAGCAAAUAUUUAAUGAUUAUGUGAUUAUAUUGGCAAAAAAAAAUGGUGAUUAUUGAUUACUAGGACCCCC